GACGAACGCUGGCGGCGUGCUUAACACAUGCAAGUCGAACGGGAGUAUUGAAGAAGCUUGCUUUAGAGAUACUUUAGUGGCGGACGGGGUGAGUAACGCGUGAGGAGCUGUCCUAUGCAGGGGGACAACAGCUGGAAACGGCUGCUAAUACCCCAUAAGCCGAGAGGUAAAAGGAUCAAUCCGGCAGAGGAGGUACUCGCGUCCUAUCAGCUAGUAGGUGAGGUAACGGCUCACCUAGGCGAAGACGGGUAGCCGGCCUGAGAGGGCGAACGGCCACACUGGAACUGAGAUACGGUCCAGACUCCUACGGGAGGCAGCAGUGGGGAAUAUUGGGCAAUGGGGGAAACCCUGACCCAGCGACGCCGCGUGGGUGAAGAAAUCCUUCGGGAUGUAAAGCCCUGUUGUAUGGGAAGAGCGGAAGACGGUACCAUACGAGGAAGCCCCGGCAAACUACGUG
rnacentral:rRNA from 1 species